UGGGGAAUUUUGGACAAUGGGCGCAAGCCUGAUCCAGCAAUGCCGCGUGCAGGAUGAAGGCCUUCGGGUUGUAAACUGCUUUUGUACGGAGCGAAAAGGUCUGCCCUAAUACGGUGGGCUCAUGACGGUACCGUAAGAAUAAGCACCGGCUAACUACGUGCCAGCAGCCGCGGUAAUACGUAGGGUGCGAGCGUUAAUCGGAAUUACUGGGCGUAAAACGUGCGCAGGCGGUUUUAUAAGUCAGAUGUGAAAUCCCCGGGCUCAACCUGGGACCUGCAUUUGUGACUGUAUAGCUAGAGAGCGGUAGAGGGAGAUGGAAUUCCGCGAGUAGCAGUGAAAUGCGUAGAUAUGCGGAGGAACACCGAUAGCGAAGGCAAUCCCCUGGACCUGUACUGACGCUCAUGCACGAAAGCGUGGGGAGCAAACA
rnacentral:rRNA from 1 species